AUCCGGUUGACGAGUCCCAAAUAGGACGAAAUGCCCAACCAGGAU
rnacentral:hammerhead_ribozyme from 1 species